UACGGGGGGAGCAAGCGUUGGUUCGGAUUUACUGGGCGUAAAGGGCGCGUAGGCGGCCACCGCAAGUCGACUGUGAAAUCUCCGGGCUUAACCCGGAAAGGUCAGCCGAUACUGCGGGGCUAGAGUGCAGAAGGGGCAACUGGAAUUCUCGGUGUGGCGGUGAAAUGCGUAGAUAUCGAGAGGAACACCUGCGGCGAAGGCGGGUUGCUGGGCUGACACUGACGCUGAGGCGCGAAAGCUAGGGGAGCGAACGGG
rnacentral:rRNA from 1 species